rnacentral:snRNA from 1 species
UUUAAUAUUACUUUUAAACUCAAAUAAAAUAAAAUUAGAGAAGAUCAGCAUGGCUCCUCUGCAAGAAUGAUAUACAAACUCAUGAAGCAUUCCAUAUUUUU